UGGUCAGCCAAGUACUCCUUGUAAUUCAGAAGUGCCACUCACUUCUCUAGAUACAGGAGACUUCAGCAGAGACCAAUUCACUACAGUAGGACUUUUUCAACUUUGUAAAAAUAAACGCUGGCAUUUAAAGUUACCUUAAAAAAGCUAAGUAGCUGACUGUUGGUUGUCCAUCUCCACAGAACACUUUCAAGCAGGGAGUUUAUUUCUACAUUGAAUUUAACUUAAACCCAAAAAAGGGAACUUCUGUUUGCAAAGCAACUACUCAGGAUGUGACUGUUGUUUCCUAAUAUAGCCAUGUGACCUGGCUUUUUUUUUUUUUUUUUUUAAAGACACUGCAAAAGAGCUAAAUCCAGAGAAUUUCGGUGAAACCACUCCAUUGCCAAAACCUCAGAAUGAUCUUACUAACAAGCUGGAUAUCAGUCCUAACAACAUUUCUUCUUUCCUUACAUUUCUGGAGAGCAAAGGUCUAUGCCUCUGGAAAUUCAGAGGAGGAAAUAGAUUUCACAUAUGUUAUCAUAGGAGUUACUCUGGGAACCUUUCUAUCAGUUGCUUUUGUAGCAGUAAUAAUCUGUAUGAUCAGAAAAAAUAUGCUUGACAAUGCCUUUGGAGAAUCAGAUGGCAAAAUGGAUAGAAGGUCAAAUAUGGGAUCAAGUCAGAACAGAGAAGAUGCCAACAUAUCAGGGCAAAAAAGUACAAAUGAUCAAUAAUCCUUUUGCAAUCAACAGUUACCUAGUCUGAGGAUCAAUGGAAGUCUCUUGGCCACAGGCAGGAAUCUCACCAACAGCAAUUCCUUUGCUUGUUCUGUAAUUGAAAGACUGACUGAUUGGUUACAAGAAGAGUUUACAGUGUAUGCUAACUUCAGUCAUCUGCGCACAAAAAGCCUGCAAUCCCCAAUACUACGGAUAUGAACAAAAUGUAUGAGGAAAAUAGAAAAGAUGACAUCUGCUCAUUAAUAGGCCCUGUUUAGCCUGGGAUAAGUAUAUGAUUGAUUUCUAAAAUCAAUUAAAUCCAGAGUAUUCAAAAAGCUAGCAAUACAUUUCAACAGAAUUCAUAGCCACACUCAUACUUCCAGUAAGGCAAAUCAUGAAUGAAGUGACUCAGAAAAUCAGUCAUCUGAGGUCAAGCAAAGCAAGAUUUCUCAAGUUUUUCAGGAAAAAAGUUUUGCGUUGAUCUAAAAAUAUUUCAUUCACGCUAAAGUGAUAUCUCUUUUUAGCUUUAGGAUUGGCUUAUUUUGUUUAACUUUAGGCCAUGAUGCUAAUUUCAGUCACUUCAAAUGAACUGGGGUCAUUUAAAAUGAAAAAUACCACUUUGAAGUUUUAACAUUUUGAUUUUAGAACCUUGAAAUCAAAACAGUUUUUUAUACCCCAGAUAAAAAGUUUCUGGACAUCUGAAAUGAAACAUUUCAUCUCAACAUUCUACAAACGAGCUAAGCGGACAUUUCCAAAGUCACCCUAUCCUUAUUUUUAAUAUAAAAUAAUUCACUCAGAUAAAUAAAUUCAAUCAGAACUAAAUCCA
rnacentral:lncRNA from 1 species